CGGUUGAUCCCGCCGGACCUGACUGCUAUCGGAUUGGUACUAAGCCAUGUGAGUCGUUGCAGCAAUGCAAGGCAGACGGCUCAGUAACACGUAGUCAACCUAACCUAUGGACGGGGAUAACCUCGGGAAACUGAGAAUAAUACCCAAUAGAUCAUGAUACCUGGAACGGUUUAUGGUUCAAAUGAUUUAUCGCCAUAGGAUGGGACUGCGGUCUAUCAGCUUGUUGGUGAGGUAAUGGCCCACCAAGGCUAUAACAGAUACGGGCUCUGAGAGGAGGGGCCCGGAGAUGGGUACUGAGACACGGACCCAGGUCCUAUGGAGCGCAGCAGGCGAGAAACCUUUGCAAUGUGCGAAAGCACGACAAGGUUAAUCCGAGUGAUUCCUGCUAAAGGAAUCUUUUGUUAGUCAUAAAGCCACUGAUGAAUAAGGGGUGGGCAAGUUCUGGUGUCAGCCGCCGCGGUAAUACCAGCACCUCGAGUGGUCAGGAGGUUUAUUGGGCCUAAAGCAUCCGUAGCCGGCUGCUCAAGUUUCCGGUUAAAUCCACACGCUUAACGUAUGGGCUGCCGGAAAUACUGUUCAGCUAGGGAGUGGGAGAGGUAGACGGUACUCGAUAGGAAGGGGUAAAAUCCUUUGAUCUAUUGAUGACCACCUGUGGCGAAGGCGGUCUACCAGAACACGUUCGACGGUGAGGGAUGAAAGCUGGGGGAGCAAACCGGAUUAGAUACCCGGGUAGUCCCAGCUGUAAACGAUGCAGACUCGGUGAUGCAUUGGCUUA
rnacentral:rRNA from 1 species